AAGGUAUAUCCUGCCCUAUGGAUAAUUCUAAAUGGCUGCAGUAUUUUGACUGUACAAAGGUAGCAUAGUAAUUAGUUUCUUAAUUAGGAACUUGUAUGAAUGGAUUCAUGAGAUAUAUGUUUUAUUUAUUUAAAUAUUAAAAUUUUAAUUUUAGGUUAAAAUGCCUAAUAAAUUUCUUGGGACGAUAAGACCCUAUAGAACUUUAUAUUUAUAUUAAAAAUUUCUUUUAAAUUUUAUAUUAAAUUUUUAACUAUAAUAUUUUGCUGGGGUGGUUAGUAAAUUUUAACUUUACUUUUAUUUUUCAUGAAUAUAUGUUAUUUUUGAUCCUUAAAAAAGAUUACAAGAAUAAGUUACCUUAGGGAUAACAGCGUAAUUUUAGUGGGGAGUUCAUAUCUAUAUUAAUUUUGCGACCUCGAUGUUGAAUUAAGAAAAAUCUAAGAAGCAGAAUUCUUAGUUUUAAGUCUGUUCGA
rnacentral:rRNA from 1 species